UACGUAGGAGGCUAGCGUUGUCCGGAAUCAUUGGGCGUAAAGAGCGCGUAGGCGGCCAGAUAAGUCCGGUGUGAAAGUCACAGGCUCAACCUGUGAAUGCCGCUGGAAACUGUCUGGCUAGAGUCCGGAAGGGGCGAGUGGAAUUCCUGGUGUAGCGGUGAAAUGCGCAGAUAUCAGGAGGAACACCAAUGGCGAAGGCAGCUCGCUGGGACGGUACUGACGCUGAGGCGCGAAAGCGUGGGGAGCAAACAGG
rnacentral:rRNA from 1 species